rnacentral:hammerhead_ribozyme from 1 species
AUCAAGCUGGAACACGAGUCCCAAAUAGGACGAAAUGCGCAUCCUGGAU